UACGAAGGGGGCUAGCGUUGUUCGGAAUUACUGGGCGUAAAGCGCGCGCAGGCGGUCUUCCAAGUCAGGGGUGAAAUCCUGGAGCUCAACUCCAGAACUGCCUUUGAUACUGGCAACCUAGAGACUGGAAGAGGUUAGUGGAAUUCCCAGUGUAGAGGUGAAAUUCGUAGAUAUUGGGAAGAACACCAGUGGCGAAGGCGGCUAACUGGUCCAGCACUGACGCUGAGGUGCGAAAGCGUGGGGAGCAAACAGG
rnacentral:rRNA from 1 species